UACGUAGGGUGCGAGCGUUAAUCGGAAUUACUGGGCGUAAAGCGUGCGCAGGCGGUUCUCCAAGUCCGUUGUGAAAGCCCCGGGCUCAACCUGGGAAUGGCAGUGGAAACUAGGGGACUGGAAUCUGGCAGAGGGGGGUGGAAUGCCGCGUGUAGCAGUGAAAUGCGUAGAGAUGUGGAGGAACACCGAUGGCGAAGGCAGCCCCCUGGGCCAACACUGACGCUCAGGCACGAAAGCGUGGGGAGCAAACAGG
rnacentral:rRNA from 1 species